CAGGGAGACAACAAAAUGUUUAAUAUUAUUAUUUUGUCACCUUAGGUCGAUCGGUAUCUCACAUCCUUAAUCUAUUGAGGAUUUCAUUUUCUAAGUUUUUCUAGGUCACACCCAUUAUUUUUCCUGGGCCAUUAGCUCAGGUGGUUAGAGCGCACCCCUGAUAAGGGUGAGGUCCCUGGUUCAAGUCCAGGAUGGCCCAUUCUCUAUGUUGGGGGUAUAGCUCAGUUGGUAGAGCGCCUGCUUUGCAAGCAGGAUGUCAGCGGUUCGAGUCCGCUUACCUCCACUGAUUACCACCUCUUCCAUAAACUGAUGAAGGAAAUGUUUUGAGUUGUGAUCAAAUUCUGAACGAAUCUAGCUUCCUAAUUAGAUGAUUAAGAUGCUGGAUUCAUUGAAUUAAUUUCAUUGUUUUCAGAGAACCUUGACAACUGCAUAGAUUAUUUUAAAGACAAUAAGCAUCUUUAAUGAUGCAGAUUUAUUAUUUGUGCGAAUGCAUUAAAUAACAAUUCUAUUAAGCUGAUGCUUCAA
rnacentral:tRNA from 1 species